GAUGAAGAACGUAGCGAAAUGCGAUAAGUAAUGUGAAUUGCAGAAUUCAGUGAAUCAUCGAAUCUUUGAACGCACCUUGCGCCCUUUGGACAUUCCGAAGGGCAUGCCUGUUUGAGUAUCAUGAACACCUCAACUCUCACGGCUUGUCCGUGAUGAGCUUGGACUUUGGGGGUCUUGUCGGCCUGUGGUCGGCUCCUCUCAAAUGGAUCAGCUUGCCAGUGUUUGGUGGCAUCACAGGUGUGAUAACUAUCUGCGCUUGUGGUUUUCCAUCAGAUAACCUUCAGUGAUAUGGAGGUUCGCUGGAGCUCACAAAUGUCUCUCCUUAGUGAGGACAGCUCUUUGAACGUUUGAUCUCAAAUCAGGUAGGACUACCCGCUGAACUUAAGCAUAUCAAUAAGCGGAGGA
rnacentral:misc_RNA from 1 species